GUGCUCACUUGGGCAGCACACAUACUAAAAUCGGAAUGAUACAGAGAUUAGCAUGGGCCCUGUGCAUGAAUGACAUGCAAAUUUGUGAAGCAUUCCAUAUUUUU
ensembl:snRNA RNU6-203P RNA, U6 small nuclear 203, pseudogene